rnacentral:rRNA from 1 species
GUGUCAGCAGCCGCGGUAAUACGAGUGGUGCGAGCGUUAAUCGGAAUUACUGGGCUUAAAGGGUGCGCAGGCGGGUCCGCAAGCAUUCUGUGAAAUCCCCCGGCUCAACCGGGGAACUGCAGGGUGGACUGCGGGUCUUGAGAAAGGUAGGGGCCGACGGAACGAUCGGUGGAGCGGUGAAAUGCGUAGAUAUCGAUCGGAACGCCAAUGGUGAAGACAGUCGGCUGGGCCUUUUCUGACGCUCAUGCACGAAAGCGUGGGGAGCAAACAGGAUUAGAUACCCUGGUAGUCC